rnacentral:sRNA from 1 species
UUUUAGCCCAGAUAGAAAUGGAAACCCCGGAAUUUUAUAGUUUAAUUUUCUUAGUUUAAAAGAGCGACCAGAGGAAGCUUUUUUAAAUAUUAGAAAAUUUACUGUAAAGAUGAGGAGUUGAAGUGUAUAGCUGGAUUAGCU